CAGUCGCCGCGGGAAUACGUAGGUCCCGAGCGUUGUCCGGAUUUAUUGGGCGUAAAGCGAGCGCAGGCGGUUAGAUAAGUCUGAAGUUAAAGGCUGUGGCUUAACCAUAGUACGCUUUGGAAACUGUUUAACUUGAGUGCAGAAGGGGAGAGUGGAAUUCCAUGUGUAGCGGUGAAAUGCGUAGAUAUAUGGAGGAACACCGGUGGCGAAAGCGGCUCUCUGGUCUGUAACUGACGCUGAGGCUCGAAAGCGUGGGGAGCGAACAGGAUUAGAUACCCCCGUAGUCCCUGUCUCUUAUACA
rnacentral:rRNA from 1 species